AGUCAAGUAAUUAAGUGCAUGUGGUGGAUGCCUUGGCAGUCAGAGGCGAUGAAAGACGUGAUAGCCUGCGAAAAGCUCCGGGGAGGCGGCAAAUAUCCUUUGAUCCGGAGAUGUCUGAAUGGGGGAACCCACCUACUUUAAGGUAGGUAUUGCAACAUGAAUACAUAGUGUUGCAAGGCGAACGAGGGGAAGUGAAACAUCUCAGUACCCUUAGGAAAAGAAAUCAAUUGAGAUUCCCUCAGUAGCGGCGAGCGAACGGGGAUCAGCCCAUUAAGUUAUGUGUGUUUUAGUGGAACGCUCUGGGAAGUGCGAACGUAGAGGGUGAUAUUCCCGUACACGAAAGGGCACACAUAAUGAUGACGAGUAGGGCGAGGCACGUGAAACCUUGUCUGAAUAUGGGGGGACCAUCCUCCAAGGCUAAAUACUCCUGACUGACCGAUAGUGAACCAGUACCGUGAGGGAAAGGCGAAAAGAACCCCUGUGAGGGGAGUGAAAUAGAUCCUGAAACCGCAUGCAUACAAGCAGUGGGAGCACCUUCGUGGUGUGACUGCGUACCUUUUGUAUAAUGGGUCAGCGACUUAUAUUCAGUAGCGAGGUUAACCGUAUAGGGGAGCCGUAGAGAAAUCGAGUCUUAAUAGGGCGUUUAGUUGCUGGGUAUAGACCCGAAACCAGGCGAUCUAUCCAUGAGCAGGUUGAAGGUUGGGUAACACUAACUGGAGGACCGAACCCACUGUCGUUGAAAAGCCAGGGGAUGACUUGUGGAUAGGGGUGAAAGGCUAAUCAAGCCUGGUGAUAGCUGGUUCUCCCCGAAAGCUAUUUAGGUAGCGCCUCGGACGAAUACCAUAGGGGGUAGAGCACUGUUUCGGCUAGGGGGUCAUCCCGACUUACCAAACCGAUGCAAACUCCGAAUACCUAUGAGUACUAUCCGGGAGACAGACUGCGGGUGCUAACGUCCGUAGUCAAGAGGAAAACAAUCCAGACCGCCAGCUAAGGCCCCAAAAUCAUAGUUAAGUGGGAAACGAUGUGGGAAGGCAUAGACAGCUAGGAGGUUGGCUUAGAAGCAGCCACCCUUUAAAGAAAGCGUAAUAGCUCACUAGUCGAGUCGGCCUGCGCGGAAGAUGUAACGGGGCUAAAACUAUGUGCCGAAGCUGCGGAUGUAUACUUUGUAUACGUGGUAGGGGAGCGUUCUGUAAGCCGAUGAAGGUGUGUUGAGAAGCAUGCUGGAGGUAUCAGAAGUGCGAAUGCUGACGUGAGUAACGACAAAACGGGUGAAAAACCCGUUCGCCGAAAGACCAAGGGUUCCAGUCCAACGUUAAUCGGGGCUGGGUGAGUCGACCCCUAAGGCGAGGCCGAAAGGCGUAGUCGAUGGGAAAAUGGUUAAUAUUCCAUUACUUCUGUGUAAUGCGAUGAGAGGACGGAGAAGGCUAAAUCAGCCUGGCGUUGGUUGUCCAGGUGAAAGGAUGUAGGCAUGUAUCUUAGGCAAAUCCGGGGUACUCUAUGCUGAGAUCUGAUAGCAAGCUGUACUUGUACAGCGAAGUGGUUGAUGCCAUGCUUCCAGGAAAAGUCUCUAAGCUUCAGUUACACAGGAAUCGUACCCGAAACCGACACAGGUGGUCAGGUCGAGUAGACCAAGGCGCUUGAGAGAACUCUGCUGAAGGAACUAGGCAAAAUGGUACCGUAACUUCGGGAGAAGGUACGCUGUUGUUGGUGAUGGAACUCGCUUCCUGAGCUGACGACAGCCGCAGAAACCAGGCCGCUGCAACUGUUUAUUAAAAACAUAGCACUCUGCAAACACGAAAGUGGACGUAUAGGGUGUGAUGCCUGCCCGGUGCUGGAAGGUUAAUUGAUGGGGUUAGCGUAAGCGAAGCUCUUGAUCGAAGCCCCAGUAAACGGCGGCCGUAACUAUAACGGUCCUAAGGUAGCGAAAUUCCUUGUCGGGUAAGUUCCGACCUGCACGAAUGGCAUAAUGAUGGCGGCGCUGUCUCCAGCAGAGGCUCAGUGAAAUCGAAAUCGCUGUGAAGAUGCAGUGUACCCGCGGCUAGACGGAAAGACCCCGUGAACCUUUACUGCAGCUUGACACUGAACUUUGACCUUACUUGUGUAGGAUAGGUGGGAGGCUUUGAAGCUGGAACGCUAGUUCCAGUGGAGCCGUCCUUGAAAUACCACCCUGGUAAUGUUGAGGUUCUAACUCUGUCCCGUGAUCCGGGACGAGGACCGUGUCUGGUGGGUAGUUUGACUGGGGCGGUCUCCUCCUAAAGAGUAACGGAGGAGUACGAAGGUGCGCUCAGCGUGGUCGGAAAUCACGCGUAGAGUAUAAAGGCAAAAGCGCGCUUAACUGCGAGACCCACAAGUCGAGCAGGUACGAAAGUAGGUCUUAGUGAUCCGGUGGUUCUGUAUGGAAGGGCCAUCGCUCAACGGAUAAAAGGUACUCUGGGGAUAACAGGCUGAUACCGCCCAAGAGUUCAUAUCGACGGCGGUGUUUGGCACCUCGAUGUCGGCUCAUCUCAUCCUGGGGCUGAAGCAGGUCCCAAGGGUAUGGCUGUUCGCCAUUUAAAGAGGUACGCGAGCUGGGUUUAGAACGUCGUGAGACAGUUCGGUCCCUAUCUACCGUGGGCGCUGGAAAUUUGAGAGGAUCUGCUCCUAGUACGAGAGGACCAGAGUGGACGAACCUCUGGUGUACCGGUUGUGACGCCAGUCGCAUCGCCGGGUAGCUAUGUUCGGAAGGGAUAACCGCUGAAAGCAUCUAAGCGGGAAGCCUACCUCAAGAUAAGAUUUCCCUAGGACUUUAUGUCCUCUAAAGAGCCGUUCGAGACUAGGACGUUGAUAGGUUGG
rnacentral:rRNA from 1 species